rnacentral:rRNA from 1 species
AGAACGAACGCUGGCGGCGUGCUUAACACAUGCAAGUCGAACGCGAAAGGGACUUCGGUCCUGAGUAAAGUGGCGCACGGGUGAGUAACGCGUAGAUAACCUGUCUUCAUGUCUGGAAGUAAUACGCCGAAAGGGGUACUAAUACCGGAUAUUCUUGCUUUUCAUAAGUUAUGCAAGCAAAGGUGGCCUCUGCAUAUGCUACUGCAUGAAGAGGGGUCUGCGUACCAUUAGCUAGUAGGUGGGGUAAUGGCCUACCUAGGCGACGAUGGUUAGCGGGUCUGAGAGGAUGAUCCGCCACACUGGCGCUGGAACACGGGCCAGACUCCUACGGGAGGCAGCAGUGAGGAAUAUUGCGCAAUGGGGGAAACCCUGACGCAGCGACGCCGCGUGAGUGAGGAAGGCCUUCGGGUCGUAAAGCUCUGUCAAGAGGAAAGAAGUGUACAAUGGCUAAUACCUGUUGUAUUUGACGGUACCUCUAAAGGAAGCACCGGCUAACUCCGUGCCAGCCGCCGC